rnacentral:miRNA from 1 species
CACACCUCCUCGUGAUCGGGCUU